GAACGCGAAGAACCUUACCAGGUCUUGACAUCCCUCUGACCGCUCUAGAGAUAGAGUUUUCCUUCGGGACAGAGGUGACAGGUGGUGCAUGGUUGUCGUCAGCUCGUGUCGUGAGAUGUUGGGUUAAGUCCCGCAACGAGCGCAACCCCUAUUGUUAGUUGCCAUCAUUUAGUUGGGCACUCUAGCGAGACUGCCGGUAAUAAACCGGAGGAAGGUGGGGAUGACGUCAAAUCAUCAUGCCCCUUAUGACCUGGGCUACACACGUGCUACAAUGGCUGGUACAACGAGUCGCAAGCCGGUGACGGCAAGCUAAUCUCUUAAAGCCAAUCUCAGUUCGGAUUGUAGGCUGCAACUCGCCUACAUGAAGUCGGAAUCGCUAGUAAUCGCGGAUCAGCACGCCGCGGUGAAUACGUUCCCGGGUCUUGUACACACC
rnacentral:rRNA from 1 species